GGGCCGGUAGCUCAGCUGGCAGAGCAGUGGACUUUUAAUCCAACGGUCGUGGGUUCGAGCCCCACCCGGCCCA
rnacentral:tRNA from 2 species